GACAGGUAAAUGAAAUUUUGAAGAUUUUUUAGAACGUAAGAUAUACAUUUAUCAAAUUUACAAGUGUAAAGGGUAAAUAUAUGCAGCCCUGUAAUUCAAGAUAAUACUUCCAAAUAAGAGGGAUAUGUUGUAAGAUAGUGGAUUUCAGUGUGUUUCAUUCUGUGAAUCUGCCUCCUAUGAGAGACAAAUGCAGUCUCAUUUUUGUUAUUUCUGUUAAAUGGCAAAUAGGAACUAAGAGGAUGAGGGCAAGAUGUAGAGGAGCUGUAAAGAGCAUGGACAGGUGUUACUUUCCAGUAGUGAAUUUAUUCUUUUGAAAGUGCAUAUGUAGGUUAUGGAAAAAACAGCAAAGGAAAAGCAGAUGGGUAACUUAGAGUUUUUUCUUUUUUUUCCAUCUUUUUUUUUUUUUUUGAGUUGCUCAAGUGUAACACAGUAUUAGUUAGGGUACGAGCAACAUUAUGAAAAGCCUGAACUGCAAAUGGUGGACCAAAAUUGACAGUAUACAGAGUAGAAAGGGUAUCUAAAUUGGUGUUCCGAGAUCAGUGUUGGCUCUGGAUUUACUUACUUCCUUGUUACGGGUCAUUAAUGAUGUUAAGCAACACUUUAAUUAGAUUUUCAAACAUAAGAUGUGAAGUGAUUAGAAAUUGAGGAAAAAUUACUAGAACGUACAGGGAAGAACAACACGAGAUUCGGUUUGAUAAAAUGCAGGGUACAAAUGCCUCCCUCGCCUAGUGAUGAAAAGAAACCUUAAAAGGGAAAACAUUAAAAGAGUGAUAAGUAACGCCAGCCACGCUAAUGGAGGAUUGUUAACAUUAUUAAUCCAACAUCUAAAAACGAGGAUGUAACAAUGUUAAGGUUUCGUGCAGUCCUUCGAGUGCAUGUACGUUACGACUUGUUUGUUGGUAAUAUGGACAGAGGAUUCCCCUGACCCUCAAUACGGUUCAUUUCCAGCACAUAGAAGGGAUGAGUAGACUUACGGUGUUUUGUUUUUGUUCUUUUCUGGGAGGACCCAGGCCCUAUUUAGAUUUUACUUAAGCAGUGUUCCUCGUUUCUUCAGAGGUUUGCUCUUUGGUGUUAUCAUUGCAGCUUGGCAAGUUGAGUGUUAGGAAACUCUGUGAGUGGGUUACCUUCUCAUCUGCAAUGUGGAAUGCAGUCCUGUAAGGUGUCCAGCAUACUUUUGAACUGUAUGAAAUGUGCCAUCCAAAUAGUGGUCCCUUCCUUUGAUAGUAAGACGCAAAGUACACAAUUUGAUAGUCCAUUUUCACAAAGACGGACGAAUUGGUUAGAAUCCAGAGCAGAGUCUCAGGAUGCUUAACAGGUUAGUUGAUUUUGGCUUUCUGAGAAGAACAGAACUGAACUAAGUAUAUAAAGCUUGCUAAGUCAUGUAUAUAUAGUUUGCUAACUCAUUAAGUGAGCGUGGAAAGUGAUAGCUGUGUACAAAUAUUUUGGGACUGUGAUUCUAAGAGGAAAUGCUGACUGUCAUACAAGGGGGCUAUAAGUAGAAUGAAUCGUGACAAUAUGACAGGAGGAAUUUAGGGUAAGUAUUUAGAAAAAUCUGCAGAUCAUUCUUAAGAAACUGAGAACAUUGCAACGGGAAAGUUCUGAAAAACAUCUGAAGUUUGAAAAACAGAAUUGGAAAACUCAGUCAAUAUUUUGUAAGUAAGAAAUGUACAAGUUUACUAGCCUGUUUUUGUUGUUGUUUUUCUGUCUCUGGUUUAAAACAACGUGUGCUGCUAGCCAAGGAAUCUGCAUUUUGUUCUGGUCUUCCCAAUGAGUCAGUCCCUUCAGAACAUCUCUUUGCAUCUUGCUUUCUAAAGUUAAAGGGAACCCAUACCGUGGUUGCCCUUGCUCAAGGGGAAGCCAUUUUGAAGAGCUCUGUCAUCAAAUUUAGCAGUGCAGCAGGCUGUUGCUGCAGGAGACACGUAGGUGACUUCUGAUACCUGCCAUUGUGGCUACUUAAAUCUCGGGGUACUUUGGUUACAAACAUACAGGAGGUUUCUGCAAUAGACGUAUAUGGAGAGGGAUGGUUCUUACUAGAUGCUAAGAUUCAGAAGUUACCAUUACGCAAUAUGUGUUGAUAUAACUCCCAGUGAUGAAACACUUCCAUUGCCUCUUUCACGUUUAUUUACAGGUAGCUCGAGUAUUAGCUCCGGAUACUCUGCCAAAAGCAAGGCAAAAGAAGAGAAGUUCAGUAUUGCUCCAGUACCUGUUACUGGCUGUCUCUUACCACUUCAUUUGGGUCAGCAGCCAGAAAAUAGCUCAUCUUUCUUCCAUAGCCAGGAUCAUCAGCUUUAUUUUCUGACAGUGGCUGUUCAUUUGUAUUGUUUCAGAGCUGAUAUAUUGUCCCUUUUUGAAAUUAGGAUAGUGGGAGUCCGGGAAGUGCUUCGGCUUUAGGGGUUUCUUUUUUUGGCAGCCGAAGGUAGCAGUGCCAGCAGUAGUCUCCAGCCUGCUUGAUUGGGGGAGUUAAAUCUGGAUGUCUUGUUGGGAGGGCCUUACAUCACCAUGAGAGAACUCCUCUUCAGCUAUUUCUGCAAAAGUUCAUCUGUCCUCUUAAGCUUUUGGGACUGUUAUAUUUUAGACUGCACUUGCUGGUCAGCAAAUGACACUUAAAUGAACUCUGGUCCUGCUCCUCUCCCUUACCUAAACCGUCUGUCUUCCCUCUCAUUCACACUCAAACGUGGAAUCCUUUUAAAGCCUGGAAAAGAAAAAUCUGGGUUGUGAUCCACAGGGCACAGCUAACAGGGUAGGGCCACUUAGGGAGUAAAAAGGCAAACUGACAUAAGAAUGGGGCUAGAUGGACUUUAGUUCUAAUAUGCCCAAUAUCCUCCCUCCAGCAGGGAAAGAGAAGAAGCAAAAUAAGGAUACUGUGUGCUGCAGUAUUUUCCUGGCUUUCACAAACUUCUGCAGAUAAAGUUAGCUUGCCAGUUGACUUUUUUGCUUCAAAUGGAUUUCCUUUCCUUUCACUACUCAUCUUUUCACCGUUCUCUGUUAAUGUACAGACUCCUGCCAAGUAUUUCAAACUAUCAUUAUAUGUAGGAUAAGCUGUAGGACCAUGAGCCUGUAUUAUAGUAACCGUAAGAUUUUUGCAGCAAAUUGUAAACAGGUGCACGUUUCACCAAAGUGAUUGAGGCUCUUCAAGGUUCUUGAACGUCUUCCAUUUUCUUAAUCAGAUUUAGUUUCAUUGCUGCAUGUGUUGACGGCUUAAGGCAUUAAGUCAUCAGACUUUUCAGCUGUACUUUUCAGCUGAACUGGUUUCGUUCUCUUCUGUGGGCAGGCCAAGGACUGAGCUUUGGACUUUCUGUUGUGUAUUGUAUCUAGAUGUAAAACAUAUAAUUAAUAGAGAUUCAUUCAAACCAUGCCGAGCAGUUGUUGCUACUGAGCUUCUUUAGACCUGAGUCUUGCUGUGAGUAAUUUCCCAUGACCAAGGUUAACGUAUCUCCCUUGCAUGUCAUGAAAAAUUGGCUUUUCUCUGACUUUGUUCAUCUCCACAGCUGAAAGAGAGCGGAAAACGGAGCAAUGGAUAAAUGGGACGGAAAAAAAUAAAGAUGAUGUUUUUCAGCUAAACCUGUGGGGCUUGAAAGUUUUUUGAAUUCUUAAUUUGUGAAUCAAAUUCCUUUUCCUCAGAGCACGUUUGAGCAAACGAAACACAAACAGCAAGUUGGAGCUCAUUCAGACAUUAUCUUUGCUAGGAAAAAAGAUCUGCAAAAAAAGAAAGCAACAAGCCCAUGUAUCAAAUUCUAAGCUGAUCAUCUAUCAGCACGUCUUUUUAAACCAUUUUGGCUUGACUUUUAAAGGAAGCAUCCUUUAGCAGAAAGCUAGAUUAAAUUGUUGGUCACAGGUUUCUGCUGCUGACUGUGGAGGAGUUGGAAGAGCCUUCUUAUUCUGAAAUUUCUUCUUGAGCUGGACCAGAAGUAAAUUGUUCAAGCUCUAGAACAGAGAAUCAGGUUGUUGGAUUUAUUUUCCUAGAGCAGUUCUUCCUUCCUCAUUCUCUUACCCAUGCCAUCUGAUAUAAUCUAACCCAAAGCCAAAAGUAGUCUUUAUCCUUUUUGGGGUCAUCCCACGUCAGCUGUCAGGUAGGAAAAGUUGAAAAUACACAUUCUAAACCUUUCUUUUUUUCUGUUGUGUUUUUGGUGGUAUACUUACCUAUCGCAGCAGACGGACAAACCCCAUCAUUACGUGAGCAAAUUAAAUUGUAAAUUUCACUAAUGGUGCCAAAUGUCUGACAAGAUGAAUGAAUUUAUAUUCAGAGAAACCUGGAUAAGAGAUUUAAGUAAACUUUUCUUCAAAGCUCUGCUGCGACUGAUAAUCAGAACAGAUGCAUUAAAACACAAGAGGAA